AAGAGUUAGGAUAGUGAUACAAACAAGAAAACAAACACACAAAAAAUAGUGCUAGUGGGUGAGAGAAAAGAGAGAGAGCUCAUGGGAGAGUGAAGAGAAGCAAAGGAAGGAAAAGCUUAACCUCAAUUUAUGGAGUUCACUACAAUCCAAAUUUUCAAGUAGGAUACGAAUCAUAGAUGGUGUGUUCGGAUCGCUGUUGCUUUGCUAUUUAUUUGGAGUCGCUCUGUUAGGAUGUUGUUGGGAGAAACUUUUAUUUAAUUAUGUUGUUAAAUUUUUAUAACAAUUGAACUAUGUCACUUGAUUCAGUAUUUUCAAUUCGGACUUUGAAACUUA